AGAUUAAACCGUCAACCCAUUUAGCUUAUCCCUUGGCCAAAAGUGUCUGAGAUGUGCCUGGAUGUUCCCGCACAUCUCUUCCACAGAAGGGAAGAGAAAGCCACGAGAGAGCACCCUCCACACCCAGAUGCCUACCCAGAUGCCUGCCCAGAUGGCUGUGUAGUUUUUGUGACCAGUCCGCUCCUCCCUUGCCCUGGGGCAGUAGAGGGGGGAGUGAUGGAGAACUGGGCAGGCAGGCCCUGGCUGUAUCUGCUGCUGCUGCUGCUUCUGUCCCUCCCUCAGCUCUGCCUGGAUCAGGAGGUGUUGUCCGGACACUCUCUUCAGACACCUACAGAGGAGGGCCAGGGCCUCGAAGGUGUCUGGGGACCUUGGGUCCAGUGGGCCUCUUGCUCCCAGCCCUGCGGGGUGGGGGUGCAGCGCAGGAGCCGGACAUGUCAGCUCCCUACAGUGCAGCUCCGCCCGAGUCUGCCCCUCCCUCCCCGGCCCCCACGACAUCCAGAAGCCCUCCUCCCCCGGGGCCAGGGUCCCAGACCCCAGACUUCUCCAGAAACCCUCCCCUUGUACAGGACACAGUCUCGGGGAAGGGGUGGCCCACUUCGAGGUCCUGCUUCCCACCUAGGGAGAGAGGAGACCCAGGAGAUUCAAGCGGCCAGGAGGUCCCGGCUUCGAGACCCCAUCAAGCCAGGAAUGUUCGGUUAUGGGAGAGUGCCCUUUGCAUUGCCACUGCACCGGAACCGCAGGCACCCUCGGAGGCCACCCAGAUCUGAGCUGUCCCUGAUUUCUUCUAGAGGGGAAGAGCCCAUUCCAUCCCCUACUCCAAGAGCAGAGCCAUUCUCCACAAACGGCAGCCCCCAAACUGAGCUCCCUCCCACAGAACUGUCUGUCCACACCCCAUCCCCCCAAGCAGAACCUCUAAGCCCUGAAACUGCUCAGACAGAGGUGGCUCCCAGAACCAGGCCUGCCCCUCCACAGCACCACCCCAGAGCCCAGGCCUCUGACACAGAGCCCCCCUCACCCACGCACUCCUUAGGAGAAGGUGGCUUCUUCCGUGCAUCCCCUCAGCCACGAAGGCCAAGUUCCCAGGGUUGGGCCAGUCCCCAGGUAGCAGGGAGACGCCCUGAUCCUUUCCCUUCAGUCCCUCGGGGCCGAGGCCAGCAGGGCCAGGGGCCCUGGGGAAUGGGGGGGACUCCUCACGGGCACCGCCUGGAGCGUGACCCUCAGCACCCGGAUGGCUGGCUGCCCCUGCUGAGCAACGGCCCCCAUGCCAGCUCCCUCUGGAGCCUCUUUGCUCCCAGUAGCCCUAUUCCAAGAUGUUCUGGGGAGAGUGAGCAGCUAAGAGCCUGCAGCCAAGCGCCCUGCCCCCCCGAGCAGCCAGACCCCCGGGCCCUGCAGUGCGCGGCCUUUAACUCCCAGGAAUUCAUGGGCCAGCUGUACCAGUGGGAGCCCUUCACCGAAGUCCAGGGCUCCCAGCGCUGUGAACUGAACUGCCGGCCCCGUGGCUUCCGCUUCUAUGUCCGUCACACCGAAAAGGUCCAGGAUGGGACCCUAUGUCAGCCUGGAGCCCCUGACAUCUGUGUGGCUGGACGCUGUCUGAGCCCCGGCUGUGAUGGGAUCCUUGGCUCUGGCAGGCGUCCUGAUGGCUGUGGAGUCUGUGGGGGUGAUGAUUCUACCUGUCGCCUUGUUUCGGGGAACCUCACUGACCGAGGGGGCCCCCUGGGUUAUCAGAAGAUCUUGUGGAUUCCAGCGGGAGCCUCGCGGCUCCAGAUUGCCCAGCUCCGGCCUAGCUCCAACUACCUGGCACUUCGUGGCCCUGGGGGCCGGUCCAUCAUCAAUGGGAACUGGGCUGUGGAUCCCCCUGGGUCCUACAGGGCCGGCGGGACCGUCUUUCGAUAUAACCGUCCUCCCAGGGAGGAGGGCAAAGGGGAGAGUCUGUCGGCUGAAGGCCCCACCACCCAGCCUGUGGAUGUCUAUAUGAUCUUUCAGGAGGAAAACCCAGGCGUAUUUUAUCAGUAUGUCAUCUCUUCAUCUCCUCCAAUCCUUGAGAACCCCACCCCAGAGCCCGCUGUCCCCCAGCUUCAGCCGGAGAUUCUGAGGGUGGAGCCCCCAAUCGCUCCAGCGCCCCGCCCAGCCCGGACCCCAGGCACUCUCCAGCGCCAGGUGCGGAUCCCCCAGAUGCCCGCCCCGCCCCAUCCCAGGACACCCCUGGGGUCUCCAGCUGCGUACUGGAAACGAGUGGGACACUCCGCAUGCUCAGCGUCCUGUGGGAAAGGUGUCUGGCGCCCCAUUUUCCUCUGCAUCUCCCGUGAGUCGGGAGAGGAACUGGAUGAACGCAGCUGUGCCGCGGGUGCCAGGCCCCCAGCCUCCCCUGAACCCUGCCACGGCGCCCCGUGCCCCCCAUACUGGGAGGCUGGUGAGUGGACAUCCUGCAGCCGCUCCUGUGGCCCUGGCACCCAGCACCGCCAGCUGCAAUGCCGGCAGGAGUUUGGGGGGGGUGGCUCCUCGGUGCCCCCGGAGCGCUGUGGACAUCUCCCCCGGCCCAACAUCACCCAGUCUUGCCAGCUGCGCCUCUGUGGCCAUUGGGAAGUUGGCUCUCCUUGGAGCCAGUGCUCUGUGCGGUGCGGCCGGGGCCAGAGAAGCCGGCAGGUUCGCUGUGUUGGGAACAAUGGUGAUGAAGUGAGUGAGCAGGAGUGCGCGUCAGGCCCCCCGCAGCCCCCCAGCAGAGAGGCCUGUGACAUGGGGCCCUGUACUACUGCCUGGUUCCACAGCGACUGGAACUCCAAGUGCUCAGCCGAGUGUGGGACGGGAAUCCAGCGGCGCUCUGUGGUCUGCCUUGGGAGUGGGGCAGCCCUUGGGCCAGGCCAGGGAGAAGCAGGAGCAGGAACUGGGCAGAGCUGUCCACCAGGAAGCCGGCCCCCUGACAUGCGUGCCUGCAGCCUGGGGCCCUGUGAGAGGACUUGGCGCUGGUACACAGGGCCCUGGGGUGAGUGUUCCUCCGAAUGUGGCUCCGGCACACAGCGUAGAGACAUCAUCUGUGUCUCCAAACUGGGGACGGAAUUCAACGUGACUUCUCCAAGCAACUGUUCUCACCUCCCCAGGCCCCCUGCCCUGCAGCCCUGUCAAGGGCAGGCCUGCCAGGACCGAUGGUUUUCCACACCCUGGAGCCCGUGUUCUCGCUCCUGUCAAGGGGGAACGCAGACACGAGAGGUCCAGUGCCUGAGCGCCAACCAGACCCUCAGCACCCGAUGCCCUCCUCAACUGCGGCCCUCCAGGAAGCGCCCCUGUAACAGCCAACCCUGCAGCCAGCGUCCUGAUGGUCAUGACAAAUGAGAAGCGGGCUCUUCCUUGUCGGCUACGGGCCCCUCAGCAGUGUGAAGGCAGAAGGUGGAGAACUUGCUAGAGGCGACCUGAGAGGGGCAGACCUCUGCCGUUCGGAGCCUGGGGCCAAGUCUCUCCUGGAAGCCGGGCUGCCUGGGAGGGGCGGUGCCACAGGAGCGCCCCCGCUCGCGGCUCCACAAGCCCAGCUGAGCACGGCGGGGAAUACGGGGCCUGCGGAAACAGUGAACUCAGUGGCUGCUGUUUUCUGAGCACCUGGACCCUGCGGGGGACGACAGAGUUGCCCGAGGCGGCAGGAUCUCCCCACACUCGCGGCCCCCCGCACAUCUUCCUGUUGCUUUGGGACUCGGGCUUUCUCUGAGUUGAAAGUGGCUGAGAAGGAAGAAUUUGGACACCUUAAGAGGAGAGCGAGUGGGGAAGGAGGCAAAAGGGAAUGGAGAAGGAAGACAAACUGACGUCAGCCCAGGGCAGGCAGCGAGGAAAGGGGGCCACAAGGGAAGCCCAGUUCCAACGUCUCCGCUGAGCCUAAAGAGGCGUCAGCAGGGAAUCACAGAUGGGGGGCCGGGGGGGCAGGGAAAUGGGACCCGAGCCCGCCCAGUAGGUAUAGAAGGCCGAAAGCAGAGUCCUGAGACCCAGGGAGGGGUGGGGUGGAGGCUGGGGCCCUCCCAGCGAUUCCUGGAAGCCCCGAGCUGGGCGGCGCCGGCUCAGCUGACUUCCCCGAAGCUCCCCUCCCUCUGCUCAGGGCUGUUGCUGGGCAGGUUUGGCGUUUGCCCUGAGCCUGAGAACCAAUCGCAGGUGGAGGUGCGGUCGCAGCCCCUCGCAGGGCUCCCCGGUUUCAGCACCCGUUUUCUCUUUCUGCCCGCCCCUGAGCUCCCUCUCGGCCUCCAGCCUCUGACCUCUCAGGAGGUGGGCUCUUAUCUGGGGGUCUACCCCCCUUCCCCUCUUAUUUUAGAGCUAGGACUCAGCGCAGCCCCUAAGGAUUCCUUCCUCUGGUCACUGACGUCAUUAUGGGGUCAAUGUGGAAGUUCUCAGGAAGGGGAACCUGACCCAAGCAACCCCUUUUCCUGGCCCCGUAGAGGGGAGUAGUGUGGCCAGACACCGCUGACCUCUGAAACCCUCUGGAGGGACUGGGGAGAGCAGAAGCUGCAGCCUGAGGGCAGAGGAAUGUGGGGAGGGCCCCUGGGUUUGGUGCACUGGUGGGAAUUUAGGGAAGGACUCAGAGGAACUGGACCCCUGAGAAAUGAGAUGAGGGUGGGGUAGUGAUAGGAACAAACUUGAUAUGCACAAGAGAGAUCAAGCAUGCAAAAGGCCUGCAAAUUGAGGAUGCCUCCUUUCUGUGGGUGUGCUGGGUGGGGGAGGGGGUUGUGGUUUGAGUAUCAUUGACACUAGGGGUGAUCUGUGCUCUCACGAGUUCAGCUGGGUCAGGAUUCCUCUCCCCUCCCCCUCCCAGCUUCCCCAGGGUAAAUACCCACCCAAUUUAAGUUGCAGCUUUUGGACUAAAUUUAGCUCCUGGACUUCCCCAACCCCCAGGCCUCCCUGUAAGCAGGUGCUCACAGCUGCAGCGUGGGUCUGGUGGAGAGUUUGAACCUUCUCCUCACCUCCACUCAUCCAGAUUCCACCCUUCUGGUAACGAGGAAUGAAGCAGAGCACAGGAACCCAGUGGCUGGCCCAGGGCAUAAGUGUCUCAGCCUCGAGCCACCUUCUCCCAGGAAACCUGUAAGAGAAGAGCUCUGGUGGGAGGCUCUAGAUGGACAUGGAGGGUGGUGGGAUAGAGAGAGAACAAGAUGCUAGGAGAGCCUCCCUCCAGAUUCUCUCCAGCCAGACCCUCUCUCAUUCCUUGCUCUCCCCUUGUCCCCAGGUUUACAAAUAAAGACUUCAUGUUAGCAUCCUCCCCACCAGAGUAAA